rnacentral:rRNA from 1 species
GGCUCAGGAUGAACGCGGGCGGCGUGCCUAAUACAUGCAAGUCGAGCGAACAGAUAAGGAGCUUGCUCCUUUGACGUUAGCGGCGGACGGGUGAGUAACACGUGGAUAACCUACCUAUAAGACUGGGAUAACUUCGGGAAACCGGAGCUAAUACCGGAUAACAUAUUGAACCGCAUGGUUCAAUAGUGAAAGGCGGCUUUGCUGUCACUUAUAGAUGGAUCCGCGCCGUAUUAGCUAGUUGGUAAGGUAACGGCUUACCAAGGCAACGAUACGUAGCCGACCUGAGAGGGUGAUCGGCCACACUGGAACUGAGACACGGUCCAGACUCCUACGGGAGGCAGCAGUAGGGAAUCUUCCGCAAUGGGCGAAAGCCUGACGGAGCAACGCCGCGUGAGUGAUGAAGGUCUUCGGAUCGUAAAACUCUGUUAUCAGGGAAGAACAAAUGUGUAAGUAACUGUGCACAUCUUGACGGUACCUGAUCAGAAAGCCACGGCUAACUACGUGCCAGCAGCCGCGGUAAUACGUAGGUGGCAAGCGUUAUCCGGAAUUAUUGGGCGUAAAGCGCGCGUAGGCGGUUUUUUAAGUCUGAUGUGAAAGCCCACGGCUCAACCGUGGAGGGUCAUUGGAAACUGGAAAACUUGAGUGCAGAAGAGGAAAGUGGAAUUCCAUGUGUAGCGGUGAAAUGCGCAGAGAUAUGGAGGAACACCAGUGGCGAAGGCGACUUUCUGGUCUGUAACUGACGCUGAUGUGCGAAAGCGUGGGGAUCAAACAGGAUUAGAUACCCUGGUAGUCCACGCCGUAAACGAUGAGUGCUAAGUGUUAGGGGGUUUCCGCCCCUUAGUGCUGCAGCUAACGCAUAAGCACUCC